CCUACGGGAGGCAGCAGUGGGGAAUAUUGGGCAAUGGGCGCAAGCCUGACCCAGCAACGCCGCGUGAAGGAAGAAGGCUUUCGGGUUGUAAACUUCUUUUCUCAGGGACGAAGCAAGUGACGGUACCUGAGGAAUAAGCCACGGCUAACUACGUGCCAGCAGCCGCGGUAAUACGUAGGUGGCAAGCGUUAUCCGGAUUUACUGGGUGUAAAGGGCGUGUAGGCGGGGACGCAAGUCAGAUGUGAAAACCACGGGCUCAACCUGUGGCCUGCAUUUGAAACUGUGUUUCUUGAGUACUGGAGAGGAUAGUGGAAUUCCAGGUGUAGGAGUGAAAUCCGUAGAUAUCUGGAGGAACAUCAGUGGCGAAGGCGACUAUCUGGCACAUAACUGACGCUGAGGAGCGAAAGCGUGGGUAGCAAACAGGAUUAGAUACCCGAGUAGUC
rnacentral:rRNA from 1 species